rnacentral:rRNA from 1 species
CAGUAGCCACGGUAAUACGAAGGGGGCUAGCGUUGCUCGGAAUUACUGGGCGUAAAGGGAGCGUAGGCGGAUCGUUUAGUCAGGGGUGAAAUCCCGGGGCUCAACCUCGGAACUGCCUUUGAUACUGGCGAUCUUGAGUAUGGGAGAGGUGUGAGGAACUCCGAGUGUAGAGGUGAAAUUCGUAGAUAUCCGGAAGAACACCAGUGGCGAAGGCGACACACUGGCCCAUUACUGACGCUCAUGCACGAAAGCGUGGGGAGCAAACAGGAUUAGAUACCCGGGUAGUCCCUGUCUCUUAUAC